AUUGAACGCUGGCGGCAUGCCUUACACAUGCAAGUCGAGCGCGAAAAGGGGGCGAACCCGACGUAGAGCGGCGGACGGGUGGAGUAACAACAUCGGAACGGUAGCCCACGUAGUGGGGGACGGAAACCUCCGAGAAAUACGAGGCGUAAUAACCGCCAUACGACCCACCGGGUGGAAAGACGGGGGACCCGGAAACGGAAAACGUAGAGGGCCGUCCGC
rnacentral:rRNA from 1 species